GCUCGCCUGCUCUGCGAGCCGCCCGGGACCACGGCCUCGGCCUCCUGCGCCCCUUCCGUCCGGCAACCCCACGCCCCUCCGGGGCGCUCCUGUCACCCCUCGACCCGCGCCUAACGCCGCCCCUUGAGGAGACGCGCCCUCAGCAGCCCGACUCUCCGGUCUCUAAGCGGCCGGCCGAGCUCAUCCCCGGCCGCCCACCGCGCUCAUCCCCGGCCGCCCACCGAGCUGGGCUCCAACACGGGCCUAGAGCCGAGCGCGAACGCUCUGGGGACCAGUACGCGUGGCCGUGCGCGGGAGCCUUCGGACGCAGGACAGCUCUCCUCCAAUUCCCAGCGUCUCUGACCCACACUGUUUCCCCUACAUAAAUCUGCCCUCUUGCAAUUUAGGGACGAAAGCAUGCCUCAAAACUCACAAGGGUGAUUUAAAACGUUAAACACAUUGCGAGCGGGCAACACGAUCAAAGAUCCGACUCUCACUGGCUAAUGUCUGAGCGGGAAGAGCAAUCCGGUGAGUCUUACUUCCAGGGAGCGCGUCAAGACGCCAGGCUGUUUGAUUAAGCGCUACCUGGCCCGAGGUGGGGCACCGGAAGGCGAGGAGACAGAUACACCGGCGAGAUCAAGUUUGAAAUGCAAGCCGCCGCCACUUGGCCCCAAUUAGAGGCCAAACCUUUUAUGUAAACAAGGAAUAAUUAGCUUUGGUAAUAGAAGCGUAAACAGAAUCAUCAUCCAUUGAUUUGCUAAUUGCCCUCCUGUCCCAUGACAAUAGCCAGCAUUUUGCUGUAGGUCGGACAGACCCUGUGUACCAGAGGACAGUUUCUUCAUGUGUAAAGCAGACAUAAUGGGAAGAGGAAAUGGAGUAACCCCCUGCCUGGCGCAUGGGCAGCCCUGAAGAAAUGGUGCUCAACUGCAUGUGGUUAGGGGCUGUCUCCAGCACUUUGCCCCCACUUUUGUUGCCAACCUCAUUCCUCCAUACCCUUGCAUUUGGUAGAACACAUCAAAACUUUCAAAGUCCCUUCCUAUCUAACGCUGGGAAGGAUGCGAUGGCUCAGAGCAAAGACCUCUUCCCUGGCAGCUCCGUCCUAACAGGGCUGGUGAACAAAGACAUUUGUGAUCUGGCAGCAUGUAGCCCAAAGGGGAAGGGCAGAAGGACAUUUCCACGAUGCUCCAUUCAAAGGUUUCAGCUCAGAUCUGGACAUCCUGCUGCUCCAGGCAUCCGGAGGUUCCACCUACACACAGGACAAGACUUCUUGGUUCCGCUGAGGAAGUUCCUACGUUUAGGAUCUCAGAUGAUGGCCAGGCUCCCAAAGGAG